AUGAACCCAGAACCCAUCCACCCCUGCGAUUUUCUUCUCCCUCCACCCAUGCGAUUCUCUCUCUCUCUCUCUCUCUCUCUCUCUCUCUCUCUCAAUUUGAUUAUAAGGCUCAGACUUGCUUCGCACAAUGUUCCUUCACAGCCUUACGCUUUAAUUUCAACAUAAGUUAUAGAUUUCACAAAUCAAGCUCAAUCCACACACUCAACCCUAGAACCGCUGGAGAACCCGAUGCAGCAAUUCACCUGGCUAUACUUGAAAAUCCAAAUAUCAAGUGA
rnacentral:lncRNA from 1 species